rnacentral:rRNA from 1 species
UGAGGAAUAUUGGUCAAUGGGCGAGAGCCUGAACCAGCCAAGUCGCGUGAGGGAAGACGGUCCUACGGAUUGUAAACCUCUUUUGUCGGGGAGUAAUAGGCGGGACGUGUCCUGCUGUGAGAGUACCCGAAGAAAAAGCAUCGGCUAACUCCGUGCCAGCAGCCGCGGUAAUACGGAGGAUGCGAGCGUUAUCCGGAUUUAUUGGGUUUAAAGGGUGCGCAGGCGGCGUGCCAAGUCAGCGGUCAAAGUUCCGGGCUCAACCCGGUGAUGCCGUUGAAACUGGUGUGCUUGAGUGCGUGCGAGGGAGGCGGAAUGCGUUGUGUAGCGGUGAAAUGCGUAGAUAUAUGGAAGAACACCAGUGGCGAAGGCGGCUCUCUGGUCUGCAACUGACGCUGAGGCUCGAAAGCAUGGGUAGCGAACAGGAUUAGAUACCCUGGGUAGU